rnacentral:rRNA from 1 species
CCUACGGGAGGCAGCAGUGAGGAAUAUUGGUCAAUGGGCGGAAGCCUGAACCAGCCAAGUAGCGUGCAGGAUGACGGCCCUACGGGUUGUAAACUGCUUUUAUACGGGAAUAACGCGCCUUACGUGUAGGGCUUUGCAUGUACCGUAUGAAUAAGGACCGGCUAAUUCCGUGCCAGCAGCCGCGGUAAUACGGAAGGUCCGGGCGUUUUCCGGAUUUAUUGGGGUUAAAGGGAGCGUAGGCGGCAUGUCAAGCGUGCUGUGAAAGGUCCGGGCUCAACCCGGGCCUUGCAGCGCGAACUGGCGUGCUUGAGUCCGCGGAAGGCAGGCGGAAGUCGUCGUGUAGCGGUGAAAUGCUUAGAUAUGACGAGGAACCCCAGUUGCGAAGGCAGCUUGCUGCAGCGGAACUGACGCUGAUGCUCGAAAGCGCGGGUAUCGAACAGGAUUAGAUACCCGGGUAGUC